GGCAGCUGGAGACCUUUCUGCCCAGGAAGCCCGGGAAGAAGGAGCUCUCCAAGAGCUGUGCAUGGACAUCCUGGGGUCACUGGAUGUCUCUGUGAGAGGGAUGACCAAAGUAAGUCACAAUCUGCCCUGCUGCCGCUCCUCGACUUCACACCACGUGUUCCUCAUCCCCUUCCAACACCCCCGGUCUCUCCUCCAAUGUGCUCUAAAGCACACAAGACUCAGGGAAAUUCACAGAGUCCUCUUCAUCUCUGAGCGGAGGCAGGAACGCUGACACAGUGCUCAACCGCCUCGUUCCCUACAGCUCCUGUGGCCACGGCUGCUGCUGUACGUGGUGCCAGCCCAGUACACCGGCAUGCUGAUCCCAGUCUCCCGCUGUGUCCAAGCGCUGGCUGAGAGAGGGGACCUGAUGGUGCGGGAGGCAGAAGACCUGGAUCCCCAUUUCCUCAGCUCCAUGUUUCAAGGUAGGAGCAGAAACUCCCCCAGUGAGCUCUGUUGACCUGUGCUAGCACCCAGAAGGGACAGUGGAGGUGUGUGUGGCAGGGCACGUCGUGUCUGUGUCUUACUCAGCCCUUCUUUCUCCCCACAGGCCCACUGCUGACUCCCCAGACACUGCUGGCACGCCUGUUGGUGAGUAGAUGCUCCAGAGGCCGGUGCCAUGAGCCCCAAGGAGGAAGCAGCAUGGCCGAGUGUGCCAGUGCCUG
rnacentral:lncRNA from 1 species